rnacentral:tRNA from 1 species
GCGGUAAUAGCUCAGAUGGUAGAGCACGACCUUGCCAAGGUCGGGGUCGCGUGUUCGAGUCUCGUUUCCCGCUCCA